UACGUAGGGUGCAAGCGUUGUCCGGAAUUAUUGGGCGUAAAGAGCUCGUAGGCGGUCUGUCGCGUCGGCUGUGAAAACCUGGGGCUCAACCCCGGGCCUGCAGCCGAUACGGGCAAGCUAGAAUUCGGUAGGGGAGACUGGAAUUCCUGGUGUAGCGGUGAAAUGCGUAGAUAUCGAGAGGAACACCUGAGGUGAAGACGGGUUGCUGGGCCGACACUGACGCUGAGUGCGCGAAAGCCAGGGGAGCAAACGGG
rnacentral:rRNA from 1 species